UCCUCGGUAGUAUAUCGGCUAGUACACCCGCCUGUCAUGUCGGCCACACUACGCGGGAGAGCGGGGUUCGACUCCCCGCCGAGGAG